rnacentral:rRNA from 1 species
ACUCAAAUGAAUUGACGGGGGUCCGCACAAGCGGUGGAACAUGUGGUUUAAUUCGACACUACGCGAGGAACCUUACCUGGGCUUGACAUGCUAGUGACAGCUGUAGAAAUAUAGUUUUCUGGAUUUCGGUUCAGACAGUAGCACAGGUGCUGCAUGGCUGUCGUCAGCUCGUGUCGUGAGAUGUUGGGUUAAGUCCUUUAACGAGCGCAACCCCUACGGUUAGUUGCUACUCACUCUGUGAGGCACUCUAACAGGACUGCCUGGGAAACCAGGAGGAAGGUGGGGAUGACGUCAAGUCAGCAUGGUCCUUAUGCCCAGGGCGACACACGUGUUACAAUGGCCGGUACAACGGGCAACGAACCCGCAAGGGGGAGUUAAUCCUUAUAAGCCGGUCUAAGUUCGGAUUGAGGUCUGCAAUUCGACCUCAUGAAGCUGAAAUCGCUAGUAAUCGCGCAUCAGAACGGCGCGGUGAAUACGUUCUCGGGCCUUGUACACACCGCCCGU